rnacentral:lncRNA from 1 species
UCGCACCCACUCCGCGUGGACUGUGCGACCAGCAUCUACUUGGAUCCAAGGCGAGCGUGCGAUACGGUGAAUACUAUAAGCACUAAACCAUGGUGCAGGAUUUGAGCUCAAUAUAUAUCAUCAUCAUCAUAACAGUAAUUAAAUACUCACCUGAUACUCACCUGUGCGUCCGCCGCACCAAUUCAUACAUAUGCAUCAUAUAUCAAUUCAUAUCAUUUCAUGCAUGGCAAUUCGAUUCACAUUUCUAUCUACUUUUCAUAUACUUUCAUGCAUGGCAUUUCAACUAAUAUAUCUCAUAUACUUUUAUACAUUUUCAUUAAAAGCAUAAUUUCAUGCAUUUUCAAUUUCUGGGAAAACGGCAAGUAUAUAUGUAUACGGAAAACCAAACUGCCCACUCACCUGGAGUUCGCCCUACAACUCCCUAGCACAAUACGCCAAGGCGUCAUGACGAUCGCCGCCUAGAACAGUAAUCAAAUCCAACCUCAGAAUUCAUAUCGAUAGAAUGUAUAACUUAUAUAAAAUACGUCACUACGUUGAUCGAUCCGGAAGAUCUGCCACUCAGAUUUUAAAUCCAUAACUGCCAGAGGUCCACAAUAUAUCUCUAGCAUAACAUCCUAAAAUUUCAUUACCAUCCAACAGUCGGAUCUCCGUCAAUUUCCAAAACUAAGUGACGGUUAACAUUUUAUUUUAUGAACUUACAAUUCCAAUUCCGGAAGAUCCGUAACUCGGAUUCCCAAUCCGUAAGUUCCAAUAAUCCUCAAAUAUUACGUAUUACAACGUAUCAAAGUUUGGUAACGAUCCAACGGUCGGAUCGUCAAUUCAUAUUUUCACCUAAAUGCAAAAACUAUAAAACGUUAUUUGAACACCUAACCAACAAUCCUUAAUAACUUUCUCAUACGGUGCUCAAUUUGGGUAUAUGAAUAUACCACAGUGAUCUACUCGACGUCACGGACGUUGACAUAUUUUUAAAAUAAUUUUUUUACUGUAGCACGCGCCCCCACGCGCCAAGGAAGGCACGGACCUACGCGCACCUUCUUCUUCCUUGGGUCGCCGGACUGGUUUUUCCGGCGGCCGUUUUUCAAAUUGCUAUAACUUUGUCAUUUCUCAACGAAAUCAAGUGAUUCAAAAACGAAAGUUGUAGCCCUUGAAGAGACAAAGAGAAUGGUACCUUGCACAACACCUAGUUCGCCGUAUUUUGGCCGGAAACUGCCUCGAAAGCCUCGGAGGUCGCCGGAAACUGGGUAUUUUUCAAAUGAGUAUAACUUCUUCAAUACUCAACGCAAUUGAGUGAAACAAAAAGGAAAGUUGUAGUAAUUGACGAGACGAAGAGAUUGAUACCUACCUCGACUCCUAAAUCGUCGGGGAUUCGCCGGAAAACGCCUCGAAAGCUCCGGCCAAACUUUGAACUUGUCGAUCUCCGUGUUCUUACGUCCAAAAACUUCCAACGAAGCACUCCGAGCUUCCUUGGGACCUCACUAAGCUCGCUGUGAUCUUUUUUUAGCCUAAAUCGUAACCAUUUAAAAGAUCAUGAACAGUACAUAAACACGGGACCUUAAAAACUAGGGUUUUCCGAAGCAAAACUUACCUGAAAUGGAUACCAUCGUGAUCUUGGAGGUUCCAGGAGUUCGAUGGUGGUCUUAACUCCGUCGUUGGUAGAAGUUUAGGGUGGUUUUGUGGUGGUCCGUGUGAGUUCGAAGGAGAGGGAUAGAGAACUGAGAGUUUCGUGAGGGAGGAGAGAGAGAGACAAUGUUACGGGUUAUGGGGAGGGUUUUGAGGUGUGGGGAUCCCACGUGUGCAACCCCAAUCCCAAUUUCAUAAAUUCCAACAUAAAAAUCCAAACUUAAGCCUAGUUUAAGUUCCUAAAACCAAAUAACUUAGGAACUUUAAGUAAAACCAGUUGUUAAAUUUUCGCCCCUUAGUCCCGUUUAAAGGCAUUUUCGUCUUUUCACGUCCUCGGAAUUAAAAUUCCGGGACGGGCUGUGACAAUCUUCCCUCCUUAUAGAAUUUCGUCCCCGAAAUUCCAGUAACCAACUAAAUCAACCAUACUCCAACAAUAGCUUCGGGUAAAUCUCUCUCAUCCGAUUCUCUUUCUCCCACAUAAUUUUCUACUGAAUGAUUUCCUUCACAAAGCUUUUACCACUUACUCUGUCUUAAUUCUCAGGACCUUCUUUUUCCAAUCCAAAGUCGUCCUUGGUUCCUUAUCAAGUCGAAUCCAAUUUAAUUCUCAAUAGUUGCACCAGAAUCUCAUGUGACGAAUCUGCCACCUAGUGACAACGUAUCGAACCCAAAAUACAUUAAGUACCUUAGCCAACUCUGAAGACAUCACCACUUGUAUGCAACUUUAUUGAUUCCUUUAGUGAUAAAAAAUGGUCUGAUAUGUCUAAAUCUUAUCUUGUCUCCUUUCCAAUUCUCACCAUUUCUGUUCGUGGUGAAAUUUCCAAAAUAUCGAAUCAUGAAACACAUCAUGCACUUACGACAACUCUAGAAGCCAUUCAAUUCUAUAAUCAACUUCACCAACCUUUCGAUGAUCACGCUAAGUCCGAUUCAUUUAGGAUUUAACUUGCCUUCCUUUCCAACUUGAAUUAUACUUUUCUAUGGUGAACACUUCAAAAAUAUAAAACCAUUUACCUUAUAUACUCGAUUAGUGGCAUAUCCAUCUGUUGAUCUCUUUUGCCAUUCCUGGUUACUUCAGGUUAACUUAAUCACCUGAAUACUUUGAGGAGACUCAUCCAUAGUCUCAAGGUCUACUAAAACUCUUUCUUGAUCGAAUCUUUCUCUACCCAGAAGCAUUCCAUCCACAAUUCAGCAAAAUUGACACACAUGACACGCUUUAUGGACAUUAUGGCGUUACUUUGAAAACUGGCGAAACCAACAUACUUAAGAAUUUUCGAAUCUUAAUUAUGGCUUGUGGUUGUUCCAAUUUCUCAAUUCUGCUGCCUUUUAAGAAUUCAUUUGAAUACCUUAAGCAGAUAUAACCAAUCUCAGAAUGCCACUUGAUUCAUCCAACAUUCGCAUUUGCUAAACUUAGCAUACAAUCGACAUUCUUCCAAUCUUUGUUCCACCGACUGAAUACGUUUACAUGCUCUGCUCUGGCUCAGAAUAUACCAGAAUAUCUUCAAUGAAAAUGAUAUCAAUUAUCAAGGCAUUAUUGGAAUACUUCAUCCAUCAACUCAUAAAACCGCAUGAGUAUACACAUAGCAUCACCAAACUUCAUAAGGACCAUAACGAGUCCAGAAAACCAUCUUAUGAUCAACGUCACUUAUAAUAUUCAAUUGGUAGUAACCAGAUCUCAAUUCAAUAUUUGAAAGUACACAGGCACCUCUGAGUUGAUCAAAUAAACAUCAGUACACCACAAUGGAUAACGGUUCUCAAUCGUUACCCGAUUCCAUUAUCUAUAAUCAAUGAACAAUCUCUAAGUCUAUUUUCUUUCUCACCAACAAACUGGGGCUCCUCAAAAGUGUUGUACUAGGUUGAAUAAAACUUUUAUCAACCAAUUCUCUCAACUGAAUUUCCAUUUCCCUUAACUCAUCCUGAACCAAUCUUUAACAUAAAUUUAUACCUGGCAACAAUUCAAUAGUGAACCUCAUAUCUCUGCCUGAAGACAAUCCAGGUAUACUUUCAGGGAAGACAUCAAGAAAAGUCUAACCCCUUUAACAUCCUUCACACUACUCCGAGUAACAUCAUUUAGCAUCACAUGAGCUAAGUAUUUUUGACAGCCUUUCGAAAACAAUCUCUUUGCUCUCACAGCAUAAAUAACGGCCUGACUCAAUCCACUUUGCAUACUUACAAAAGUAAUCUCUGGUCAUCCAGAUCGAUGGAAAGUACUGGUUUCCCGUAACAUUCCGUCUUGUCACAAUUAUAACCAACCAAUCUAAUGAAACAGAAUUAACUGAUACAAUAUAUAUUCUAUUAUUAUUAAGCAUUCUAAAUAGGUACAAUACUAACAUAAAUAAUCUACCAGGUUGCUUGCUUAACGAAUCCACGAAUAAGUUAUUAAUAUUACGGUUUGCAGCCCGCAAUACUGAUAAAUCAUCGUUGUCUCGAUAAGUAGGCAACAACUCUCAAAGAUAUAACAUUACUAUUUUGAUACUCAAUGCAAAAUACAUACACUCGUCUCAACUACAUUUAUUUACUACUCUCUAGGUAAUAACAUACAUAAUAAGAAAUAUAUCAGCCGAAGUCAACUAGAAUGACCAAUACGGCUGAUUCAACUCUUAUCUCAAUAAUACGUCGGCCGGAUCCACUCCGCGUGGUCGGUAUGGCCGAGCCUAUAACUCACCAAUUUCUCAUGUGUCAAUCGAAUCCACUUCUCAUGGUCUGUACGGCUGAACAUAUAACUCAUCAAAUCUCUCUGUACUCACGGUCAAUCCGACCAAACUACUAAGUCCAUAACUCUGCUGAAUCGACACUAUGAUAUCAUGGAAAAUUGUUGAGUACAACUGAUUCUAGGGACGAUUCACAAUUAUGUGUCCCCUCUGUUCACAUAAACACAUUCAUUAAUUUCACACUUCCCAAAGUGUUAAUUUUGUACCUGCUGCACAAGGUACAUUUCCUUUACUCGAGACACCUUGUCUCAAAUAUCUGGGAUUACCAGUAUAUCCAUCACUUUUACUCUGACCAGCGACAUUAAAACCUCAGCUGGAAGAAUUAACUCUAGCUUCACUUCUUUCGAAGCUCUGAAUCUUUCUAUAUCCUUGAUAUGACGAAUCAUUAACUUUAUCGUCUUCUUUUGAUUCCCAUUCAUUUCUUAUUCUUCUUUAUUCUCGUUGCUCAUGUUCUCAGAGUCCUCAAGACUCAACAGCAUCUCGUAUAUUCCUGGUAAGAAGUACAAUGGAUAGUGGUCACCCAAAAUACCACUUCCCUUUUUGCCACCCAGCUUAAAACAAUAUAACACCUCCACCAAAUUAACAACAAUAUCUGGAUGGAACGAGGCAAGUCUGAAAACUUUCUAUAAUAUUCAUUUAUCGUCAACUUCCUUGAUUCACAUUUGCAAACUCUUGCUUACUACCAUCGAUAAAUGCCGGAGGGAUAAACUUUUCCUUAAACAAGUCCUUAAACAAUUUUAAAUCGACUGAUUCCUCUGGUGACAACAAUUAACAAUCCUGUUUCCACCAGGAUACAAAUUCAUACCCAAAACCAGGUAGUCGUCUCGACCCCUUGUCAGAAGGAAGAUUCCUUUGACUUGCAUAAUCUGAAACAUCUUUUCCAAAUGGUUAAACCGUUACUUCGUUCCCUCAGGUUCAUCAUUCCAUAAGGUGAUUCAAAUUCAACUCAUAACCCGUCUUAAAAUGUCCAUUUUGAUAAUAUACCGAAUCACCAUAAUAAUAGUUUCCCCUAACCCCGCUAAAUCAGGGAGACUAAGUUCCUCUAACUACGUGGUUUGCUACGAGGCGGUGUAGUUCUGACAGAAUUCACUAGAACUUCUCAAAAUGUCCAAGAUUGCAACCAUGCUCUGAUACCAACUGACACACCCCGUCCCGAAAGAGGGCAUGCUGGCCGUCACGUGAGAGUGACGUAACCAUUUGCACAGUACGGAAGCUUUAAGAUACAAUUUAUAAGUUGAUACACCCGAAGGUGAGUCCUAAUUUUGUCCAAUCUGUCAGAACACCGUCGAAUUCCUCGUAGUCACCACACCUUUGUGAUUCCUGAACCUGGAGGGGCGCAAAACCAAAAUUGAGUGGGUCAGUAAAACAAUUCUUUUCCAAAUCCAAAAUUUCUCAAAACGUUGUAACCCCUCUCCGUAAAACUUGUAUACUUUCCCAGAAAUGUAAAAUAUAAAUAUACAUAUAUAUUCUCAAAACUUCAUUUUUACUAUCUCAACAUUUUUCUUUAUCAAUCAUGUCAUGCCAUGUCUAAUUCAACAGUUAAGUAUGGAUGCAUCAACAAUAAUCAUAUCAGGUGCAAGAAAGUAAUCAACCGGAGGCCCUCUAAUAGCCUUGUACGGUUGAACCUAGAGCUCAAAAUCUAUCACUCUCACUCUGCCGGAGUCACCUCUGUGACCUGUCCGGCCUUCUGCACACAAGUUACGCUCUAGUGCUUUCUCAUCAAUCAUCUGUGCACAUAAUCUAAGGUCACCCACCAGUCGAAAUCUCACUAACACUCUUCGACUGGCCCGUCGCACCCACUCCGCGUGGACUGUGCGACCAGCAUCUACUUGGAUCCAAGGCGAGCGUGCGAUACGGUGAAUACUAUAAGCACUAAACCAUGGUGCAGGAUUUGAGCUCAAUAUAUAUCAUCAUCAUCAUAACAGUAAUUAAAUACUCACCUGAUACUCACCUGUGCGUCCGCCGCACCAAUUCAUACAUAUGCAUCAUAUAUCAAUUCAUAUCAUUUCAUGCAUGGCAAUUCGAUUCACAUUUCUAUCUACUUUUCAUAUACUUUCAUGCAUGGCAUUUCAACUAAUAUAUCUCAUAUACUUUUAUACAUUUUCAUUAAAAGCAUAAUUUCAUGCAUUUUCAAUUUCUGGGAAAACGGCAAGUAUAUAUGUAUACGGAAAACCAAACUGCCCACU